AUGCAUUGGAUCUCAUGGGAACAAUUGACGACGCCAAAGUGCAAAGGGGGUAUGGGCUUCAGGGACAUGCACCAGUUUAAUCUAGCUAUGUUGGGCAAACAAGGGUGGAGGCUGCUCGCACAGCCGGAUACAUUAUGCUCAAGGGUGCUAAAAGGACGGUAUUUUCCGGAAGUUGAUUUCAUGGAUGCUACGCUGCCCAAGUCAGCUUCCAAGACUUGGCGGGCGAUUAUGGCGGGCAGGGAAGCUCUCCAAGCCGGUUUGAUCAAAAGAAUUGGAGAUGGCAUAUCCACUUCUAUAUGGACAAACAGAUGGAUUCCGGGAACCAUCUCCAUGAUGUCACUGCUGCAACCAUCGCCUACCACACUCGACAAGGUCUCUGAUCUGAUAGAUAGUGAUAACUGGUCAUGGCGACAGCAGGUGGUCCGAGACAAUUUCAUUGCGCCAGAUGCCCAGGCCAUUCUUAAUAUUCCAUUGAGGCAAGGCGGUGGUGAAGAUUUUCUCGCUUGGGCGCUCGAUAAGUCAGGCAACUAUACUGUCAAGACG
rnacentral:rRNA from 1 species